rnacentral:tRNA from 1 species
GCGCCGGUGGUGUAAGGUGAACAUCGCUGCCCGGAAAGCAGAAGAUGCGGGUUCGAGUCCCGCCUGGCGAA